UACGGAGGGGGCUAGCGUUGUUCGGAAUUACUGGGCGUAAAGCGCGCGUAGGCGGCUUUGUAAGUUAGAGGUGAAAGCCCGGAGCUCAACUCCGGAACUGCCUUUAAGACUGCAUCGCUAGAAUUGUGGAGAGGUGAGUGGAAUUCCGAGUGUAGAGGUGAAAUUCGUAGAUAUUCGGAAGAACACCAGUGGCGAAGGCGACUUACUGGACGACUGUUGACGCUGAGGUGCGAAAGCGUGGGGAGCAAACAGG
rnacentral:rRNA from 1 species